CCUACGGGAGGCAGCAGUGGGGGAUAUUGCACAAUGGGGGAAACCCUGAUGCAGCGACGCCGCGUGGGCGAAGAAGUAUUUCGGUAUGUAAAGCCCUAUCAGCAGGGAAGAAGAAAUGACGGUACCUGAGUAAGAAGCACCGGCUAAAUACGUGCCAGCAGCCGCGGUAAUACGUAUGGUGCAAGCGUUAUCCGGAUGUACUGGGUGGAAAGGGAGCGCAGGCGGCACGGCAAGCCUGAUGUGAAAGCCCGCGGCCCAACCGCGGGACUGCAUUGGGAACUACCGGGCUGGAGUGCCGGAGAGGUAGGCGGAAUUCCUAGUGUAGCGGUGAAAUGCGUAGAGAUUAGGAGGAACACCAGUGGCGAAGGCGGCCUACUGGACGGUGACUGACGCUGAGGCUCGAAAGCGUGGGGAGCAAACAGGAUUAGAUACCCGUGUAGUC
rnacentral:rRNA from 1 species